rnacentral:rRNA from 1 species
AUUGAACGCUGGCGGAAUGCUUUACACAUGCAAGUCGAACGGCAGCACGGACUUCGGUCUGGUGGCGAGUGGCGAACGGGUGAGUAACAUAUCGGAACGUAUCCAAUAAUGGGGGAUAACUAAUCGAAAGGUUGGCUAAUACCGCAUACGCCCUACGGGGGAAAGCAGGGGAUCUCCGGACCUUGCGUUAAUGGAGCGGCUGAUAUCUGAUUAGCUAGUUGGUGAGGUAAAGGCUCACCAAGGCGACGAUCAGUAGCUGGUCUGAGAGGACGACCAGCCACACUGGAACUGAGACACGGUCCAGACUCCUACGGGAGGCAGCAGGGGGGAAUUUUGGACAAUGGGCGCAAGCCUGAUCCAGCCAUUCCGCGUGAGUGAAGAAGGCCUUCGGGUUGUAAAGCUCUUUCGCAAGGGAAGAAAACUUACUUUCUAAUAAAGAGUGAGGUUGACGGUACCUUGAUAAGAAGCACCGGCUAACUACGUGCCAGCCGCCGCAGUAA